UCGAUUCGGCGGCUCGGGUGGACCGGGGUCGCGACCGCGAGCCGCGGGCGCUCCUCGCCGGGGGCGACGCCGUUGAUCGUGUCGACGUGGAUCAGG
rnacentral:tRNA from 1 species